GAUCCUGGCUCAGGAUGAACGCUGGCGGCGUGCUUAACACAUGCAAGUCGAACGAAGCACUUCAUAAAGUUUACUUUAAGAAGUGACUUAGUGGCGGACGGGUGAGUAACGCGUGGGGUAGCCUGCCUUACACAGGGGGAUAACAGUUAGAAAUGGCUGCUAAUACCGCAUAAAACAGCAGAGUCGCAUGACUCAACUGUCAAAGAUUUAUCGGUGUAAGAUGGACCCGCGUCUGAUUAG
rnacentral:rRNA from 1 species